GAAAAACCUAAGCAGAUCCUCUAGGUUCACCUGCUUAAUCGUCCUAAAAAGCGCCAACUUUGGAGAUCACACGGUGGGCAGCACAGUAUUGGUCUCCCACCUCUGAUGUGUGGGCUACGGUGUGGAUGGUUAACUCUUUAGGGACCUGAAGGCCACUUUGCUAUAAAUGGGGGCUCUCACUUGGGCCUGCAGAUGUCCAUGGGUGACGGGAUGGCUGGAAAGGUGUGGCCUCUCUGUCUUCAUGUUGUGCUGUGUCCUUUGCUGCCUUAACCUCUGGGUUAGAUUCUACUCAGCUCUGUGUGUAGACAUGUUGGUCAUCUGAGGGACGUUUUGUCCAGAGUUCAGGGUGAACUUGACCUCUUGCCUAGCCUCUCUCCUCCCUCUUCAAAGGCUGAAGACAGCUACCCGUGGCCACGGCCAGAAAUACCAGGACACAAAAGGAAUGAUAAGAGGUGGCAUUGGUGUUCCUGAAAGGUCUCUGCCUGUUCCCAGAGAGGCAGGAACUCCCCUCCUUGGUGAGCCAGCCUGUGCCCUCCCUCACUAUUCCUGUCCUGCCUCUGCAGCCCUCCAGAGCUCCUCCCCCUGCUAAGCCUCCUCCCAGCCUGCUGUGCUUGUCCGUUGGGACACUUCAUCUGGACACUGUCCCUGGACUUUGGCGUUCCUGUGGGAUGAGCUUCUGAACCUGAUUCCCAGGAGGGAGACAAGCGCAAGAGCAACACCCCUCAGAUCCUGCAGGGGUGUCCCUUUCCCACCUCCCUGCCUGGUCCCUGCUGUGUCAAGGCUUUGGGUAGGACUGUCGGCUUGGCCUUGAGAGGCUAUGAGCACGCGGGUGGCCUGGGCCCCUGAACUGUGGAGUAAAGCGAGACCUGAGGGAACCCAAGGAGACCUAGGAGGAAGAGGCCUUGACGAGAGGCCCCGAGAACACUUAGGCUGCUGGAGCCCUUGGGCAGAAAUGCUGGGAUGGAAGUCAAAGUUCAAAUGUGUUUUCUCAUAUGUGGACAGGAGAGAGAGAGAGAGAGAGAGAGAGAGAGAAAGGGGGGAAGGGAAGUAUCUCACAAAAAUAGAAGGGAAAACAGUAGAGGAAGGGAAUUGAGAGGGAGGGAGGAGGGAGGGAAGUACGGGGAAUGGUCUACCACGUUAUGCUGUGUGCAUGUAGGAACACAGCACGAUGAGUCAUAUAUAUUUAUAUAGUGAUAAUGCACUAAUUAAAACAAUAAUAAUAAUAAUAAUAAUAAUAUUAGAAGGGAGAUAUUAGAGAGGAUCGGAGCAAGUGCACCGCAGGAGGGAGGAGGAAAGGAAAGGGAGGUAAAAUUCUGUUCUGUGCAUGUACGAGCUUGACACGAGGAAUCCCACUAUUAUGUGUAAUUAUCAGGCACCAAUAAAAAUCCAUAUCACUAAUAAAAAUAUAUAAAAUGAGGAGCAUUAACAGAUGAUCAAGGUAUGAUAAAGUUAUUGACUGAAUCAAAGGAGAUCAGAUGACUGUAAGGCACUUAACUGGUGUUGUGGCCAUAGAAACCCCUCACUCAACGUUCACUCUUACGACCCUAUGACCACAGUCACCCUGGCCACUGGUCUGGGUGGGAGGAUGCAAACAUGUAACACAGGGGCCUCCUGGAGUCCUGGAGGGGCGGGGAGUUGCAGUGAGUACCAAUUAGCAAUUCUAGAUUUUUCUCCUUGUUCUGUUCCAUAAGAUUGGAGACUUUUUAGUUCACAUCUGUUUUAGGAACAGAUUAACUUGCUGAAGAAAGUGUCUCAUGCAUCCUUCUCUCUUUUUAAAGAUCUUUGUUUUCUGUUCAAGUGUCUCUCUUUUCCGCCAGAGUGAGCUGUUGGCCACAUCAGGAAUCAAGGCUUCCAAAACCACAGGCAGCCUGCGCUGGGUCCUGCUGGGGGAAGCCGUGGUCUUGCUGGCCAGCAGGGCCCUGUCCAUCUGUAGUUGACUACAGACACCACCAGCAGUAAACUAACGCUACAGAAUGACAAAGACUGAAGUUCCUUAGAGGAAUGGAGGCUGGCCUCCUGCAGGUACCUAAUCCACUAUGAAGCUCUAUCUGUUCUGACUCCUAAGUAGCUCUGGAUUCCUCCCUGUCCCAGGCUUAUCCUCUCCUUCUCCUGUUCCUGUUUCUCCUCCUCAUUGACCAUUUUGUCUCUCCCUGACCUGUUCCUUUCUGAAUAAUUCUCACCUUUGGUUUACCUUGAUUCCAGGAUCACAGGAUAGACAAGUAUCUACGCUGGGAUGGAAACUUGGAAAUUGAAACUACCUCUCAGGCAGCAGCGGUUCCCCUGCUGACGAGACCUUGCAGGACCAGUGCCAGGGUCAUGAUCAACCAGACCCGACCUGACCAAGAUGGCCAGCUCUGCAAAUCCCCUCAGCUCUUGCCUUACCCCAAAGCUGUUGCCGACACCCCAAAGACAGCACUCAGACCUGUCUUCCCCAUGGGGCAGUGCUGAGAAUAAACCCUUUUCUGCUUUACUGUU
rnacentral:lncRNA from 1 species